rnacentral:rRNA from 1 species
AGCGAACGCUAGCGGCGGGCCUAACACAUGCAAGUCGAGCGCAUACCUUCGGGUAUGAGCGGCGGACGGGUGAGUAACGCGUAGGUCAUCUACCCUUUGGUGGGGGAUAACCCAGGGAAACUUGGGCUAAUACCGCACGAGGUCCACGGAUCAAAGCCUUCGGGCGCCAGAGGAUGAGCCUGCGUCGCAUUACCUAGUUGGCGGGGUAACGGCCCACCAAGGGGACGAUGCGUAGCUGGUCUGAGAGGAUGAUCAGCCACACUGGGACUGAGACACGGCCCAGACUCCUACGGGAGGCAGCAGUGGGGAAUAUUGCGCAAUGGGGGAAACCCUGACGCAGCCACGCCGCGUGGGUGAUGAAGGCC